rnacentral:tRNA from 1 species
AAUUAGCUCAGUCGGUAGAGCGCACGGCUGUUAACCGUUAGGUCGUAGGUUCGAGUCCUACAAG